rnacentral:RNase_P_RNA from 1 species
UGAGUAAGUCAGAUGAUCGCCGGUACAAAACCGCAAGGUUGUACGGGAGGAAAGUCCGAGCUCCGUAGGGCAGGGUGCCGGGUAACACCCGGUGGAGGCAACUCUAAGGCAAGUGCAACAGAAAGCAAACCGCCACCAAAAUGCUUUGCAUUUUGGCGGUAAGGAUGAAACGGUGAGGUAAGAGCUCACCAGCGGAUAGGUAACUAUUCGGCUAGGUAAACCCCACCUGGAGCAAGACCAAGAACGGACACAAAAAGGCAACUGCCCGUUGCUGUCCAAUGGUAGGUCGCAUGAGUUUACUGGCGACAGUAAACCUAGAUAGAUGAUCAUCUAAUACAGAACUCGGCUUAUAGAUUUACUCACAUA